AUUGAACGCUGGCGGCAGGCCUAACACAUGCAAGUCGAGCGGGGUUUUCGGACCUAGCGGCGGACGGGUGAGUAAUGCGUAGGAAGCUACCCGAUAGAGGGGGAUACCAGUUGGAAACGACUGUUAAUACCGCAUAAUGUCUACGGACCAAAGUGUGGGACCUUCGGGCCACAUGCUAUCGGAUGCGCCUACGUGGGAUUAGCUAGUUGGUGGGGUAAUGGCUCACCAAGGCGACGAUCCCUAGCUGGUUUGAGAGGAUGAUCAGCCACACUGGAACUGAGACACGGUCCAGACUCCUACGGGAGGCAGCAGUGGGGAUUAUUGGACAAUGGGCGCAAGCCUGAUCCGGCCAUGCCGCGUGUGUGAAGAAGGCCUUCGGGUUGUAAAGCACUUUCAGUAGGGAGGAAGGGUGUUGUGUUAAUAGCACAGCAUUUUGACGUUACCUACAGAAGAAGCACCGGCUAACUCUGUGCCAGCAGCCGCAGUAAAAC
rnacentral:rRNA from 1 species